AAAUAAAACCCACUUAACAUGGUAAAACCCACUGGGUUUUAUUCAUUUACAACCCAUUAAAACCCAUUAAAACCCAAUAAAACCCAACCCAUUAAAACCCAGGUCGGAAUACCCUGACCAUAUGUGAUUCGAAAGUGUUCACACGCAAAUAAAUACCCACAUCAUGUUGUUUAUACAUAACUAAAAAUAAUAGUAACGCUUUAAAAUAUUAGGGUAAUUUGUUACAGAAUGCGCAUAAUGUCUCGUAAAUAUACAUAUUCUACAAAGUAGUGAGACACGAUUUAAUUACUGUGCCUAAUACGUAUUUUCCUCCAGAGAGUAGGGAAGAUAAAGUGAUGAAUAGAUGAUUAAGGGAUUAGAGAAAAAUAUGACCAUCAUCGAUCUUUGCACCCAUUUGGUCAGUCCAGUUCAUAGUCCAGCGUAAAACAAUAAAGUUUGUCGUACAUAUGUACGUACAUAAUACCUGUCUGUUGUAAUAAGAAGAUAGUCAAUGUUGGCUCACAUUAAUGUCGCAAUGCAAUAUUACACCAAGGCUAUCAACACUUUACUGGAUGGUUAACAAACUUAUGGAUAUUCAACACAUCAUCAAACGUGCACAUGUAUGUAUGUACAUACACACACACACACACAUAUGCACUUAUAUAUCACACACAAAUAACGUAUGGUGUAUGUGAACUUUGAUUGAUGAAUAGCGUAUGCAUUCAUAUGAUGUGCUGCAGUUGUCAAAAAAUUGUUAGUUUACAUAGCAAGUCCAAUACAACAAUAUCAAUUUGCUUGUCCAUUGCAUUGCCCACACCGAGCGUGCUUAUCUUGUGCUCAACUUCCUGGUAGAGAGAUGCUGAGUUCGGUUAAGACCAAGUUAAGUAAAAACUUGCCAAAACAUCUCUGACCUGGGAUAUAGCAUCAUCAAAAGGGUCACCAUUUUUAGUAAACAAAAUUAACUACUAAAUAACUCUUCCCCAUUAAAUACUUCAAGAUGAAUCAAAACAAUAUUGGAAUCUCCUCCAAGCCUGUUGUUCUCAGCGAGACAUUGGAAAUUAUAACGAGUGAUUCUAAAACCACUGCGUUUUCUACGCCUGAAUCCAAAUCCAAUCUUGGCUAUCGAUUCUCUAAUCAAUAUCAAGAUAAGUCGGCUAAUACUUUGGUAUCUCCGCAGCGACCUCGUUACGGGAUUUUUUAUGAUGGGUUGAAAAAAGAAACUAAAAUUAAUAUGGAGUUUUAGUAUUAGGAUUCAACAAAAAUAUUAUUUUAUACAUAUGUACUUUGCGGUUCAUGUGAUUGUAACAUGCUGUAAUAAUUAUUUUUUAUACUUGCGCUAUUAUUAAAAUUGUUCGCGUUAAACUAUUAUUUGUACA